GGGGCAGGGAGUGCAGGAGUGUAGAGGUGGAGGGAGGUGCUCAGGCUCGUGGCCAGAAUCAGAAGGCUGGUGCACAUCCUCGCAGUCAGCCUGACCCCUGGAGGCGGGUGUGGUGCGUUUCGGGUGGCGGCGGCGGGAGGGGGCUGCCCAGGCAAGCCGGUUGUUUCCUUCUCUUCCCAGCAGCCUGGCCUGGAGGCGGCCUUGGCCGCAGGAGAUUCCCCGGAAGUCGGACUCCAGGUGAGCUUGCUCCUGGGAGGCGGGGCGGUUCGGUCAGGGGCGGCCGCAGCGGCGGAGGCAGCGGCGGAGGAGGGGAGUAGCACUGCUCCUGGCGAGCUGGUGGGUUAGCUCCCUUCUCCCCGGGGGCCGGGCCUGGGAGCGGCCUCUGCUACCCCAGGUCGCCUGACACACCUGUCCCACUCAGCUUGCUGAGGAGGGGAGCAGGGCUGUGCAAUUAGGGUGCGGGGGCAACGUGGGUAGGGGGCCCGCCGCCCGGGAGCCGGCAGUUUGCUCCGCUCCUCCCCGCGGCGUGGCCUGGGGGCGACAUCUGCUGCCCAAGAAGCCGGACGCCCGUCUCCAGAGUCCUUGAGAGGCCCCUGUCAUCACUGUCAGUAUCAUCAUCAUCAUCAUCAUCAUGGAACGGAUUCCUCUGGAA